AGGGUUGUAGUUCAAUGGUAGAGCAUCUGCUUUGCAUUCAGAAGGUCCCAGGUUCAAUGCCUGGCAUCUCCA
rnacentral:tRNA from 1 species